GGGGCCUUAGCUCAUCUGGUAGAGCAUUUGACCUGCAAUCAAAAGGUAAUCGGUUCGAUUCCGAUAGGCUCCA
rnacentral:tRNA from 1 species